UGCCAGCCGCCGCGGUAAUACGGAGGGUGCAAGCGUUGUUCGGAAUUACUGGGCGUAAAGCGCGCGUAGGCGGCUUUAUAAGCCAGGUGUGAAAGCCCUCGGCCCAACCGAGGAAGUGCGCCUGAAACUGUAAAGCUUGAGUAUGAGAAGGGAGAACGGAAUUCCCAGUGUAGAGGUGAAAUUCGUAGAUAUUGGGAAGAACACCGGUGGCGAAAGCGGUUCUCUGGAUCGAUACUGACGCUAAGGCGCGAAAGCGUGGGGAGCAAACAGGAUUAGAUA
rnacentral:rRNA from 1 species